rfam:Canis lupus familiaris chromosome 5, whole genome shotgun sequence.
AUCCUUUUGUAGCUCAUAAAUGUGAUGAUUAUGUGUUCACGCCACUGUGUGACAUAUGCCGCCCUCAAACCUUGUUACGACCACGGCACAUUACCCAUUUGACG